AGAGGUGUAGCUCAGUGGUAGAGCACUUGCCUAGCAUGCAGAAGGCCCUGGGCUCAAUCCCCAGCAAUACAA
rnacentral:tRNA from 1 species